GGAGCGGGCGCGCGCCCCCUCAUGGUUCCCCCCUCCCUUCCCCUCACGUUUCCCUCCCGCGGGCGGCCCUGAGGGACCGCCCGGUCCCGCCUCGCUCAGCCCCGCCACAAACGCACCCCUGCGAGGGGAGGCUGAAAUGAUGCCGACAACACCCCCCCCCGCAUAAGGCCAUUCAGGUACUGCCUCAGUCCGUGGAUGGCGAGCCAAAAAAAAAGCGAUAUUUGAAAUGGGGAGCACUUGGUCAACAAGAAACCCACCCCCAGGAGCCCGGCACAGCCCCACCGAGGAGCCAGACCUGCCCCUGCCCUGCAAUCCCGCACCUACGGCAAGGACUGGCUUUUCCCCACCCACAGCCAAAUUAUAAUCGGUUAUUUUUCUCAACCAGAGCUGUCCAGCUCUCCCUGCUACGUACAUCAGAGCAAAACGCUGCCCGGCACCAUCGGCGCUCCCGCAGGCUCCAGCAAGGCUGCUGCCAGCCUGCCCAGCUCGGGGGGCCAAACCCCCCUCAAACAUUUGCACAAUCCCAAAGGACGCUUGGCACCGAGGCAUCUCUGUUUGUUUCCCGAAGAGAAUUAAGCUCUCGGGCACAUUAUUCUGCUUGGAUUAAGAGCAACCGCCCUGCCUCUUCAUCAGCAGAUAAUACCCCGGGCUGAUGCACACCCUGGUUGGGACAGCUCCAUCCUCAUGCUGAGCCCUCACUGGUACUGACCUAGCAAGGACCACUCACACUGAGGGCACUUGUGCUAAACGGGAGCUAAAACCCCUCAAUUUUCUGAAAAAUUGACAUGCUCCUUGCAGCUGUUUACCCCUUCUCCUUUAUAUGUCUAGGACACUCAACUCAAAAAGAAUGGGGCAGGUCCCCUUUGCCUCAGUGUUGAGACUGCUUGGAAAAAGCUCUCAAAUGAGAGGGAAGACAGGUAUUUUCGCCUCAAAUCUGGACUAUCUGGUGGUUUCCUUGGACCCAGCUGAGCACAUCUGAUUAAAAGACACAAGCUGGGAAAGGUCUGGCGGCUGCAAGUCGCUGCUCCUACACUGGGGACAGGCAGUUCCCUUGAAACGUGCCCUGAAGCUGACUUCACUCCCCACAGCAAUAAAUUAACACGUUUUAAUAGCCUGGGCUGUGCACAGAGGGAGCCUCAGAUGUUUGGUGCUGACCCACCACAACUGCUGCUGCUCACCCAGGGAUGGGCUGAAAACAGAUGAGAAACACGAGUCCAAAGGGCUUGGAGGAGAAAACCACCCAGCAAAGAAAACACAGUUUUUGGAUGGCAGCAACUUCUUGCAAUUAAGAAAAAACAAGCAAACAAACCCACAUCACUUCAUCAUCAGCUGGCUGCAGAUUAAGUGGAGGAGAGACCAGGGCAACAAAAACUUCGCAUCAAAGCAGUGAUUUAACACCACACAGCUCAUCAUCCACUGCACCGGGAUCACCAGAUGAUCCCCAACUCCAUCUGCCAGCAGCUGAGACCAGAGAGCAGCAGCAUUUCUGAGCCAUUAUUUCCCAGGUGAAGCAUUUAUCCACAGGGAGCAGCACCAGUGCAAGCUGCAGACACGCUGUGCACGAGGGCAAAGGAUGCUGCUGUCACCUCUCCAGGCCCCAAACAAAUGGCUGAGAGCUCGAGUGGAAGGAGGAGCCUCAAAGCUAAAGAAAGAGAAACUAAAAAGUUGGGCUAUCAGGUAUGAAAAGAGGAACUUGGUCUGUGCCAUGAGAGAGCCUGGAAAAUGCUCUGUUGGGGCAGAGGGAUUUAAGCCAAAGCUCCUUUUGUAGGAAGCAGAAAAUAAGGAUAAAAAGGA